CCACAAGCAGCAUGGGCCCAGGCUUGAAUUUGGUGAAAACAUUCCUCAUGUCUGGGAAAUGAGCAAGAUGGAAACAGAAAGUCAAGGAAAAUGAAGAAAAAAGGGAAUAUUUCCAAACAAAAGAACAAGAUAAAACUUCAGAAACAGAUCUUAAUGAAAUGGGGGAUAAGUGACUUACCUGAUAAAGUGUUCAAAAUAAUUGUCAUAAAGAUGCUCACUGAUGUCAAGAGAACAAUGAGGGAACAAAGUGAGAGUUUCAACAAAGAUAUAGAAAACAUAAUAAAGUACCAAACAAGAAUCUCAAAGCUGCAGACGAUAAUGACUGAACUGAAAAAUUCAAUAGAGGGAUUCAACAGCAGACUAGAUCAAGUAAAAGAAAAGAUCAGUGAAUUCAAAGACAGGGCAGUGGAAUUCAUCCAAUCGGAGGAGCAAAAAGCAAGAAAGAACGAAAAAGAGGGAAGAUAGCUUAACGGACUUAUGGAAUAGCAACAACUGUGGCCCAAUAUAUGCAUCAUAGGGGUCUCAGAAGGAGAAAACAGAGAGAAAGGGGCAGAAAGUUUAUUCAAAAAAAUAAUGGCAGAAAAUUUCCCUAAAACCUGGAGAAAGAAACAAACAUCCAUAUCCAGAAAGCCCAGAGGUUUCAAAUAAGAAGAAUCCAAAGAGAUCUACACCAAGACAUAGUACAACCAAACUGUCAAAAGUUAAAGACAAGGAAAGAAUCUUAAAAACAGCAAGAGAAAACCACUUGUUAUGUACAAGGGAACCUCCAGAAGACUAUCAGCAGAUUUUUCAGCAGAAACUUUGCAGGCCAGAAGGGAGAAGCAUAACAUACUCAAAGUGUUGAAAGAAAGAAAAAAAAUCCCAACCAAGAAUAUGCUACCUGGCAAGGUUGUCCUUCAAAACUGAAGGAGAGAGAAGGAAUUUUCCAAACAAGCAAAAGUUAAAGGAGUUUAUCACCACCAGACUGGCCUUACAAGAAAUGAUACAGGGAGUUCUUCCAGCUGAAAAGAAAAGACAUUAAUUAGAAACAGGAAGACAUAGAAAAGUAUAAAUCCCACUGGUAAAAGUAAAUAUAUAGUUAAAUUCAGAAUACUCUAAUGUUGUAAUGGUGGAUAAAUAACUUAUAAAUCUAGCAUGAAUUUUAAAAGACAAAAGUAUUAAAAAUAACUAUAAUUACAAUAUAAUGCUAAUGGAUACACAAAGUAAAAAAGAUGCAAAUUCUGACACCAAAAACAAAAUAUGGAGACAGAGAGUCAAAAUGUAGAUCUUUAGUAUGUGUUUAAAGUUAAAUUAUUAUCAGCUUAAAAUAGACUGUUACAAAUAUAAGAUGCUUUAUGUAAACCUCAAGAUAACCACAAACAAGAACCUAUAGUAGAUACACAAAAGAUAAAGUGAAAUGAAUCUAAGCAUAUGACUACAGAAAAUCAUCAAAUCAUAAAGGAAGAGAGCAAGAGAAGAAAGGAAUAAAGAAAUUACAAGGGCUAGCCUGGUGGUAUAGUGGUUAAGUUCACUUGCUCCACUUGGGUGGCCUAGGGUUCAUGGGUUCAGGUUCUGAGUGUGGACUUACACACUGCUCAUCAUGCCAUGCUGUGGUGGUGUCCCACAUAUAAAAUAGAGGAAGACCGACACAGAUGUUAGCUCAGGGCCUAUCUUCC
ensembl:lncRNA